GCUAAACGCGAAGAACCUUACCAAGGCUUGACAUGGAUUUCUAAGCACGUGAAAGCGUGUGACCCUUCGGGGGACUUCCACAGGUGCUGCAUGGCCGUCGUCAGCUCGUGUCGUGAGAUGUUGGGUUAAGUCCCGCAACGAGCGCAACCCCUGUGAUUAGUUGCCAGCGGGUAAUGCCGGGGACUCUAGUCAGACUGCCCAGAUCAACUGGGAGGAAGGUGGGGACGACGUCAGGUCAGUAUGGCCCUUACGCCUUGGGCUGCACACGUACUACAAUGCCCAGCACAAUGAGAACCGAGACCGCGAGGUGGAGGAAAUCUGUAAAACUGGGCCCAGUUCGGAUUGGAGGCUGCAACUCGCCUCCAUGAAGCCGGAAUCGCUAGUAAUGCUGCAUCAGCUACGGCAGCGUGAAUACGUUCCCGGGUCUUGUACACACCG
rnacentral:rRNA from 1 species